rnacentral:rRNA from 1 species
AGUGAACGCUGGCGGUAUGCCUAACACAUGCAAGUCGAACGGCAGCACAGUAAGAGCUUGCUCUUACGGGUGGCGAGUGGCGGACGGGUGAGGAAUACAUCGGAAUCUACUUUUUCGUGGGGGAUAACGUAGGGAAACUUACGCUAAUACCGCAUACUACCUACGGGUGAAAGCAGGGGAUCUUCGGACCUUGCGCGAUUGAAUGAGCCGAUGUCGGAUUAGCUAGUUGGCGGGGUAAAGGCCCACCAAGGCGACGAUCCGUAGCUGGUCUGAGAGGAUGAUCAGCCACACUGGAACUGAGACACGGUCCAGACUCCUACGGGAGGCAGCAGUGGGGAAUCUUGGACAAUGGGCGCAAGCCUGAUCCAGCCAUACCGCGUGGGUGAAGAAGGCCUUCGGGUUGUAAAGCCCUUUUGUUGGGAAAGAAAAGCAGCAGGUUAAUCCCCCGCUGUUCUGACGGUACCCAAAGAAUAAGCACCGGCUAACUUCGUG